rnacentral:rRNA from 1 species
GACGAACGCUGGCGGCGUGCUUAACACAUGCAAGUCGAACGGUGAAGCGCCUUCCUUUUUGGUGGGUGUGGAUGAGUGGCGAACGGGUGAGUAACACGUGAGUAACCUGCCCCCUUCUUCUGGAUAACCGCAUGAAAGUGUGGCUAAUACGGGAUAUUCUGGGUCUGUCGCAUGAUGGGUCUGGGAAAGAUAUUGCUUCGGUGGGGGAUGGGCUCGCGGCCUAUCAGCUUGUUGGUGGGGUGAUGGCCUACCAAGGCGGUGACGGGUAGCCGGCCUGAGAGGAUGGGCGGUCACACUGGGGCUGAGCCGCGGCCCAGACUCCUGCGGGAGGCAGCAGGGAGGAAUAUUGCACAAUGGGCGCCAGCCUGAUGCAGCGACGCCGCGUGGGGGAUGGCGGCCUUCGGGUUGUGAACCUCUUUCGCCAGUGAAGCAGGCCUGCCUCGUUUGUGGGUGGGUUGACGGUAGCUGGAUAAGAAGCGCCGGCUAACUACGUG